rnacentral:rRNA from 1 species
ACGGGAGGCAGCAGUGGGGAAUAUUGGACAAUGGGCGCAAGCCUGAUCCAGCAAUGCCGCGUGAGUGAUGAAGGCCUUCGGGUUGUAAAGCUCUUUCGCACGCGACGAUGAUGACGGUAGCGUGAGAAGAAGCCCCGGCUAACUUCGUGCCAGCAGCCGCGGUAAUACGAAGGGGGCUAGCGUUGUUCGGAAUUACUGGGCGUAAAGGGCGCGUAGGCGGUCCCUCAAGUCAGGCGUGAAAGCCCCGGGCUCAACCUGGGAACCGCGCUUGAGACUGAUGGGCUAGAGUUCGGGAGAGGAUGGUGGAAUUCCCAGUGUAGAGGUGAAAUUCGUAGAUAUUGGGAAGAACACCGAUGGCGAAGGCAGCCAUCUGGACCGACACUGACGCUGAGGCGCGAAAGCGUGGGGAGCAAACAGGAUUAGAUACCCUGGUA